rnacentral:rRNA from 1 species
UGGUAGUCCGCGCCGUAAACGAUGGGGCGCUAGUUGUGGGGACCUUCCACGGUUUCUGCGACGCAGCUAACGCAUUAAGCGCCCCGCCUGGGGAGUACGAUCGCAAGAUUAAAACUCAAAGGAAUUGACGGGGACCCGCACAAGCAGCGGAGCAUGCGGCUUAAUUCGACGCAACGCGAAGAACCUUACCAAGGCUUGACAUAUAGUGAAAAGCGGCAGAGAUGUCGUGUCCGCAAGGGCGCUGUACAGGUGGUGCAUGGUUGUCGUCAGCUCGUGUCGUGAGAUGUUGGGUUAAGUCCCGCAACGAGCGCAACCCUCGUUCUGUGUUGCCAGCAUUUAGUUGGGGACUCACAGGAGACUGCCGUGGUUAACACGGAGGAAGGUGGGGAUGACGUCAAAUCAUCAUGCCCCUUAUGUCUUGGGCUGCACGCAUGCUACAAUGGCCGAUACAAAGGGCUGCAAUACCGUGAGGUGGAGCGAAUCCCAUAAAGUCGGUCUCAGUUCGGAUUGAGGUCUGCAACUCGACCUCAUGAAGUCGGAGUUGCUAGUAAUCGUAGAUCAGCAACGCUACGGUGAAUACGUUCCCGGGUCUUGUACACACCGCCCGUCACGUCACGAAAGUCGGUAACACCCAAAGUCAGUGGCCCAACCGCAAGGAGG